GUGAGGAUCAAAUGAGGAAGCAGACUAGAACAUCAACUCCACUAAGCCUUUCCAGCAGAACCUGCAAGAUUACGAAAAGACAUGGGAAAUGAAGCUCAAAAGGUCGCGGUGACUGAGUUGUCAGAAGAGGCCCUAUUCUGUGUCACCAAAAUGAGGCUCACCUGCAGGUAGGAGAAGGCUUCUUCUUUUGUUCUAGCUCUUCUUUCCUUCAGGCUUCCCAGAGUUCACUGCACCUGAGGUGAGAGACACCUGCAUUUGGACUGUGCUGCUUUAGGUAAGUUCACAUUCCACCACCCAGUGGUCUUUUUUUCAAGACAAUGUUUUUUGUAUUGGUAUCUCCUUUUUCCCAUUUUCUUUUCUGGUGGUCUUUUCACAGGUCUCUCCAAAGAACUCCCAACCCUCAAAUGAAGCCAGCUUUUCCAGCAGAGUCCCAGAAGUCAUAGUAGUAAGAAAAGCUGUUU